rnacentral:rRNA from 1 species
UAAGAGGCUGAAACUCGCCUCUUUGAAGUCGGAAUCGCUAGUAAUCGCAGAUCAGCAUGUUGCGGUGAAUACGUUUCCUGGUCUUGUACACACCGCCCGUCAAACCAUGAGAGUCACCAACACCCGAAGUCCGCUUUGCGGCCUAAGGUGGGGGAGAUGAUUGGGGUUAAGUCGUAACAAGGUAAC